UCUCAGCUCUCCAUUUUCACCCCUACAAAGACCACAAGAAAACGGAUUAUGAGUAUUAUAUGACCAAAUGGUUGAAACCCCUAGCGACAUUUAUACAACAAACGAAGUUGGACUCUUUUCUUCAAUAAUUUGCUUCAUAAGUCAUAUCCUCAGGAAUAUUUUUCUAUGUUUUUUCAUUUGGUACAACAAGAAUUUUUCUUAGUCCUUCCAGCACUGCUGCAUUUUUUUGGGAUUUUUCUUGAUGCUGCAAG
rnacentral:misc_RNA from 1 species